GUCUUCGUGGCGCAGUCGGUAGCGCGUAGGUCUCAUAAUCCUAAGGUCGCGGGUUCGAUCCCCGCCGAAGGCA